UCUAACAUCGGUAUUGGGAGGUUGCACGGCAGUCGGGUCACGACCCAUGACCCGUACUGUUGCUACGCUACGCCAAGUGGAGUACAAGCGAUGAACUGGAGGGAAGCACUGACCAUUGUUUCC